rnacentral:rRNA from 1 species
CAAAGAGGGGGACAACAGUUGGAAACGACUGCUAAUACCGCAUAAGCCCACGGCUCGGCAUCGAGCAGAGGGAAAAGGAGCAAUCCGCUUUGAGAUGGCCUCGCGUCCGAUUAGCUAGUUGGUGAGGUAACGGCCCACCAAGGCGACGAUCGGUAGCCGGACUGAGAGGUUGAACGGCCACAUUGGGACUGAGACACGGCCCAGACUCCUACGGGAGGCAGCAGUGGGGAAUAUUGCACAAUGGGGGAAACCCUGAUGCAGCGACGCCGCGUGGAGGAAGAAGGUCUUCGGAUUGUAAACUCCUGUUGUUGAGGAAGAUAAUGACGGUACUCAACAAGGAAGUGACGGCUAACUACGUGCCAGCAGCCGCGGUAAAACGUAGGUCACAAGCGUUGUCCGGAAUUACUGGGUGUAAAGGGAGCGCAGGCGGGAGAACAAGUUGGAAGUGAAAUCCAUGGGCUCAACCCAUGAACUGCUUUCAAAACUGUUUUUCUUGAGUAGUGCAGAGGUAGGCGGAAUUCCCGGUGUAGCGGUGGAAUGCGUAGAUAUCGGGAGGAACACCAGUGGCGAAGGCGGCCUACUGGGCACCAACUGACGCUGAGGCUCGAAAGUGUGGGUGGCAAA